UCUCCAUGUGUUGUGGAAGGGACCUGU
rnacentral:piRNA from 1 species